GCUUUUGCGCAGUGGCAGUAUCAUAGCCAAUGAGGUUUAUCCGAGGCGCGAUUAUUGCUAAUUGAAAAGCUAGUUAGAGCUAGCUUCAGCACACACUUGGUCAUAGAAGAGAAAGAAGAGAAGAAUAUUGGAAAAUAUUAUUAAAGA